GCUGGCUGCCAUGGCUCAGAUCAGUGGUUUUGUGGAGUCUACAGUUCAGACCGCCGUGGUCUUCCGAACGCCUCUCUGUAGCCAUCCAGGGUGGAUGACCGUUUGUGUGAAAAGCCUGAAAGCGCUUAUGUGGACACAACCUUCCUGGAAAACGAACACUGCACGGCUGCUGUCUUCUAUUGGUCACAUGCCGGGACUUGUUUUGGUCUCUUAUGCCUGCAUUGGGUUAUCUAAUGUCUGACUACACUCAGGUUCACAGAGAAUCCCGAGACCCUCCUGCUCUCUCCUACAGUGACAGCCUCCCUCAGUCCACCGAUCCACACCUCGAGGAAGGAGAUUUAAAUGGGUGAUCUGACGGACUGGUGGCCAAAGACUCAAACUAGGGAGAAGAAACACCUCGUCCACAUCUUGGACUCAGAGGACACUUAGACCAUAGCUAAUUAUGGUUUCGAUCAGGCUGGAGAAAUGGCUUUCAAUCCCUUUUCAUCAGUCCCUUUAGUUAUAACAAUGUUCUCUGACAAAGCAGACACAACAAAUUCAGAAUAUUUAAAUAUCACAAACUACAUUAAGAAAUAAUAAAAAAAUGUUUUUCUGUGUCAUUGAG